rnacentral:rRNA from 1 species
CCUGCUCGACGCGGUGGGCCGCUCGGUGCUGUCGUCGCCGGCCGCGCGGCGCGCACGCAAGGCCGCGCAGCAGGACGCGCCGCGGGCGGCGAAGAGCCGCGCGAGCGUGCUCGCGCGCA